rnacentral:lncRNA from 1 species
UAUACACGCAGAUAGAGUCUGCAUUUUUUUCUUUCUUCUUUAGGAAAUCUCUGUGGAGGCAGUAGUAUUUGGAGAAUGUAGUUCAUGAGUAGAGAGAUUUGGAAACAAACAUUUGGAAUCUCUAUAAAAAGCACCAUCCUAGAAAUAGUGCUAUAAACAGACGAUAUAAUCAGAACCUCAACUUUUGUAAUUUUGUCUUUAAAAGAAUCUGGUAGGUACGAUUUACUAAGAGAAGAGUUACGUACCUUUAGGCACCAAAACCAUCACUAUCAAUCAUGUAAAACAAAUAUUCAAAAUGAAGUUGAUCAAAAUACAUUUAUAAAGCAAUGUUUGAUAUAUCAAAUAGACUCCAAAGAGGAAAUGUGUAAAGAAGUUGAAUAUUUUAGUCAAUAG